AACGAACGCUGGCGGCAUGCCUAACACAUGCAAGUCGAACGAGACCUUCGGGUCUAGUGGCGCACGGGUGCGUAACGCGUGGGAACCUGCCCUUAGGUUCGGAAUAACUCCCCGAAAGGGGUGCUAAUACCGGAUAAUGUCUUCGGACCAAAGAUUUAUCGCCUUUGGAUGGGCCCGCGUUGGAUUAGCUAGUUGGUAGGGUAAAAGCCUACCAAGGCUACGAUCCAUAGCUGGUCUGAGAGGAUGAUCAGCGACACUGGGAGUGAGACACGGCCGAGACUCCUACGGGAGGCAGCAGUGGGGGAUAUUGGAAAAUGGGCGAAAGCCUGAUCCAGCAAUGCCGCGUGAGUGAUGAAGGCCGUAGGGUUGUAAAGCUCUUUUACCCGGGAUGAUAAUGACAGUACCGGGAGAAUAAGCUCCGGCUAACUCCGUG
rnacentral:rRNA from 1 species